rnacentral:rRNA from 1 species
AUUGAACGCUGGCGGCAUGCUUUACACAUGCAAGUCGAACGGCAGCGCGGGGGCAACCCUGGCGGCGAGUGGCGAACGGGUGAGUAAUGCAUCGGAACGUAUCCUGUAAUGGGGGAUAACGUAGCGAAAGUUACGCUAAUACCGCAUACGCUCGAGAGAGGAAAGUGGGGGAUCGCAAGACCUCACGUUAUAGGAGCGGCCGAUGUCCGAUUAGCUAGUUGGUGGGGUAAAGGCCUACCAAGGCGACGAUCGGUAGCUGGUCUGAGAGGAUGAUCAGCCACACUGGGACUGAGACACGGCCCAGACUCCUACGGGAGGCAGCAGUGGGGAAUUUUGGACAAUGGGCGAAAGCCUGAUCCAGCCAUGCCGCGUGCGGG